rnacentral:rRNA from 1 species
UACAGAGGUGGCAAGCUGUUGUUCGGAAUUACUGGGCGUAAAGGGCGCGUAGGCGGUUCGUUAAGUCCUGUGUGAAAUCCCCCGGCUCAACUGGGGAACUGCACAGGAAACUAGCGGGCUUGAGUUCGGGAGAGGGAAGCGGAAUUCCGGGUGUAGCGGUGAAAUGCGUAGAUAUCUGGAGGAAUACCGGUGGCGAAGGCGGCAUCCUGGACCGGCAUUGACGCUGAGGAGCGAAAGCCAGGGGAGCAAACGGG